AACGAACGCUGGCGGCAUGCCUAACACAUGCAAGUCGAACGAGACCUUCGGGUCUAGUUGCGCACGGGUGCGUAACGCGUGGGAACCUGCCCUUAGGUUCGGAAUAACUCCCCGAAAGGGGUGCUAAUACCGGUUAAUGUCUUCGGACCAAAGAUUUAUCGCCUUUGGAUGGGCCCGCGUUGGAUUAGCUAGUUGGUAGGGUACAAGCCUACCAAGGCGACGAUCCAUAGCUGGUCUGAGAGGAUGAUCAGCCACACUGGGACUGAGACACGGCCCAGACUCCUACGGGAGGCAGCAGUGGGGAAUAUUGUACAAUGGACGAAAGCCUGAUCCAGCAAUGCCGCGUGAGUGAUGAAGGCCUUAGGGUUGUAAAGCUCUUUUACCCGGGAUGAUAAUGACAGUACCGGGAGAAUAAGCUCCGGCUAACUCCGUG
rnacentral:rRNA from 1 species